rnacentral:rRNA from 1 species
CCGGCGCACGGGUGAGUAACGCGUGUGCAACCUGCCCGGCACAGUGGGAUAAUCCGGAGAAAUCCGGUCUAAUACCGCAUGACGCGGGAAGGGCGCAUGCCUUUUCCGCCAAAGGAGGCGACUCCGGUGCCGGCUGGGCACGCGUGACAUUAGCUAGUUGGCGGGGCGACGGCCCACCAAGGCGACGAUGUCUAGGGGUUCUGAGAGGAAGGUCCCCCACACUGGGACUGAGACACGGCCCAGACUCCUACGGGAGGCAGCAG